rnacentral:rRNA from 1 species
AACGCGAAGAACCUUACCUACCCUUGACAUCCUAAGAAGGCUGCAGAGAUGUGGCCGUGCCGAAAGGAGCUUAGAGACAGGUGCUGCAUGGCUGUCGUCAGCUCGUGUUGUGAGAUGUUGGGUUAAGUCCCGUAACGAGCGCAACCCUUAUCCUUAGUUGCCAACACGUAAAGGUGGGGACUCUAAGGAGACUGCUGGUGAUGAACCGGAGGAAGGCGGGGACGACGUCAAGUCAUCAUGGCCUUUAUGGGUAGGGCUACACACGUGCUACAAUGGGGCGUACAGAGGGUUGCCAACCUGCGAAGGGGAGCCAAUCCCAGAAAGCGCCUCGUAGUCCGGAUCGGAGUCUGCAACUCGACUCCGUGAAGUCGGAAUCGCUAGUAAUCGCGAAUCAGAACGUCGCGGUGAAUACGUUCCCGGGCCUUGUACACACCGCGUGUCU